GGUGCUAUACAUGCAGUCGAGCGAAUCGAUGGGAGCUUGCUCCCUGAGAUUAGCGGCGGACGGGUGAGUAACACGUGGGCAACCUGCCUAUAAGACUGGGAUAACUUCGGGAAACCGGAGCUAAUACCGGAUACGUUCUUUUCUCGCAUGAGAGAAGAUGGAAAGACGGUUUACGCUGUCACUUAUAGAUGGGCCCGCGGCGCAUUAGCUAGUUGGUGAGGUAAUGGCUCACCAAGGCGACGAUGCGUAGCCGACCUGAGAGGGUGAUCGGCCACACUGGGACUGAGACACGGCCCAGACUCCUACGGGAGGCAGCAGUAGGGAAUCUUCCGCAAUGGACGAAAGUCUGACGGAGCAACGCCGCGUGAACGAAGAAGGCCUUCGGGUCGUAAAGUUCUGUUGUUAGGGAAGAACAAGUACCAGAGUAACUGCUGGUACCUUGACGGUACCUAACCAGAAAGCCACGGCUAACUACGUGCCAGCAGCCGCGGUAAUACGUAGGUGGCAAGCGUUGUCCGGAAUUAUUGGGCGUAAAGCGCGCGCAGGUGGUUCCUUAAGUCUGAUGUGAAAGCCCACGGCUCAACCGUGGAGGGUCAUUGGAAACUGGGGAACUUGAGUGCAGAAGAGGAAAGUGGAAUUCCAAGUGUAGCGGUGAAAUGCGUAGAGAUUUGGAGGAACACCAGUGGCGAAGGCGACUUUCUGGUCUGUAACUGACACUGAGGCGCGAAAGCGUGGGGAGCAAACAGGAUUAGAUACCCUGGUAGUCCACGCCGUAAACGAUGAGUGCUAAGUGUUAGAGGGUUUCCGCCCUUUAGUGCUGCAGCUAACGCAUUAAGCACUCCGCCUGGGGAGUACGGCCGCAAGGCUGAAACUCAAAGGAAUUGACGGGGGCCCGCACAAGCGGUGGAGCAUGUGGUUUAAUUCGAAGCAACGCGAAGAACCUUACCAGGUCUUGACAUCCUCUGACAACCCUAGAGAUAGGGCUUUCCCCUUCGGGGGACAGAGUGACAGGUGGUGCAUGGUUGUCGUCAGCUCGUGUCGUGAGAUGUUGGGUUAAGUCCCGCAACGAGCGCAACCCUUGAUCUUAGUUGCCAGCAUUCAGUUGGGCACUCUAAGGUGACUGCCGGUGACAAACCGGAGGAAGGUGGGGAUGACGUCAAAUCAUCAUGCCCCUUAUGACCUGGGCUACACACGUGCUACAAUGGAUGGUACAAAGGGCUGCAAACCUGCGAAGGUAAGCGAAUCCCAUAAAGCCAUUCUCAGUUCGGAUUGUAGGCUGCAACUCGCCUACAUGAAGCCGGAAUCGCUAGUAAUCGCGAUCAGCAUGCCGCGGUGAAUACGUUCCGGGC
rnacentral:rRNA from 2 species